rnacentral:misc_RNA from 1 species
GUUUCCCUUCGGCAUUCUGACGGUACCAAUAUGAACAACAACUACUCCAAUGUCCAGGGCCAUAUGCUUCCAUAUGAGCCAGGCCAGAGUUUGCAUGCAAAAUCUUUUCAAAGACUUGUCCAGUCAUCGGAGGAAGGAAACAAGCGGUCAAAUUCUGGUGCACAGCAGAAGUCAGCUGCCGAAGUAAACCAAGUGAUGUCUGGGAGCAGUUCUCAUCCUAUUAACAGAGAAGUAAAUAUGAGAAAGAGUUCUGGUACUUUGA